UUUUUGGGAUAUCGGGCACAGGUUCUCCUCCUCCGGCUGUUCUCCUUCACAGUCGUGAUCCAUGUGCCGCACAGGCGGUAUCCCGCUUCGUGUGCAAAAAAGCUCGUC
rfam:Faecalibacterium cf. prausnitzii KLE1255 F_prausnitziiKLE1255.K95-1.0_Cont20.1, whole genome shotgun sequence.